ensembl:misc_RNA Y_RNA Y RNA
GGUUAGUUCAAGUGCAGUGGCAUUUACAACUAACUGGUCACAAGCAUGUACAGAUUUCUUUCUCUAUUCCCACUGCUUCACUUGACUAGCCAAAA